AUAGCUCAGUAACACGUGGCCAAACUACCCUAUGGAUCCGAAUAACCUCGGGAAACUGAGGCUAAUUCGGAAUACGAAUCCCAGGCUGGAACUGCCGGGAUUCCGAAACGUUACGGCGCCAUAGGAUGUGGCUGCGGCCGAUUAGGUAGACGGUGGGGUAACGGCCCACCGUGCCGAUAAUCGGUACGGGUUGUGAGAGCAAGAGCCCGGAGACGGUAUCUGAGACAAGAUACCGGGCCCUACGGGGCGCAGCAGGCGCGAAACCUUUACACUGCACGCGAGUGCGAUAAGGGGACUCCAAGUGCGAGGGCAUAUCGUCCUCGCUUUUCGCGACCGUAAGGUGGUCGCAGAAUAAGUGCUGGGCAAGACCGGUGCCAGCCGCCGCGGUAAUACCGGCAGCACGAGUGAUGACCGCUAUUAUUGGGCCUAAAGCGUCCGUAGCUGGCCAGCCAAGUCCAUCGGGAAAUCCGCGCGCUUAACGCGCGGGCGUCCGGUGGAAACUGGAUGGCUUGGGACCGGAAGACCAGAGGGGUACGUCCGGGGUAGGAGUGAAAUCCCGUAAUCCUGGACGGACCACCGGUGGCGAAAGCGCCUCUGGAAGACGGAUCCGACGGUGAGGGACGAAAGCUCGGGUCACGAACCGGAUUAGAUAC
rnacentral:rRNA from 1 species